rnacentral:rRNA from 1 species
GACGAACGCUGGCGGCGUGCUUAACACAUGCAAGUCGAACGGAAAGGCCCUGCUUUUGUGGGGUGCUCGAGUGGCGAACGGGUGAGUAACACGUGAGUAACCUGCCCUUGACUUUGGGAUAACUUCAGGAAACUGGGGCUAAUACCGGAUAGGAGCUCCUGCUGCAUGGUGGGGGUUGGAAAGUUUCGGCGGUUGGGGAUGGACUCGCGGCUUAUCAGCUUGUUGGUGGGGUAGUGGCUUACCAAGGCUUUGACGGGUAGCCGGCCUUAGAGGGUGACCGGCCACAUUGGGACUGAGAUACGGCCCAGACUCGUACGGGAGGCAGCAGUGGGGAAUAUUGCACAAUGGGCGGAAGCCUGAUGCAGCAACGCCGCGUGCGGGAUGACGGCCUUCGGGUUGUAAACCGCUUUCGCCUGUGACGAAGCGUGAGUGACGGUAAUGGGUAAAGAAGCACCGGCUAACUACGUG